AGCGGCCGCCACAAUUUCUAAAAAUUAUCAGCAGCAGAUUUUACCCCUUUAGAUUUGGAUUUUCUGCAAAGCCACGUUGUUAUUGCAAUAAAGAAUUCAAGUACCAACAGGUUUGCUCUUCUUUGCUUUUUAAUCAGUUCUUUUAACUAAUAUGAUCAAUUUAGCUAUUUUCCGCCACCAACUGCUGGCAACACAGACAUAAUUAUCAACAGCCCGCCACAAUUUGUGUUUAUUGUCAGCAACAGUGUGAGCGAUUUUUCGUUUUUCUUGUUCUUUGCGGUUCUGUCAUUCUCUGCUCAUUCCGAAAAUCGCCGUCGAGUUGUAAGCACGAGCACGUCGCACGGUUUUUGAAAAUCUCGUUUGUUGGUCAGUAAAAAUAUAACAUAAACACAUAAAAAAAACAAUUGGUUUAGAAGUAAUGUGCAAAACAAAUAAAAGUGUGCGUACGGCUAUAAAUUAAACGCGGCUUUGUUUCAGUGCUUGCAAAAUAAACAGCAAAAACUGUUGAAGUUAAUGCUAACAAAAGAAGUGAAGCGAGAAAUUUAUGAAAUAUAAAUGUGCAAACUUAAAUUCUAAUUAAGCAGCAGCAGUGCGAGCGAGCAAGUUUUACGGAUACGGACACCAAGCAUAAAUUUUCGUCAGCCCCAGCAGCACUGUAAGGUUAGACGAAGCUUAAACAAUGUGCAGACUGUGGCUGAGCCGGCAACAACAACAAUUGCUGCUGCAUAUGUAAAUAAACGACAACACUAAGCCGAGUCAACGUCAACAACAACACUUAACAAUUUUUAUACCAGCAGUAGCAAAAAAAAUGCAUUUUUGAAAGGCUUUUUUAAGUUUAUAAAAGGCAAUGCCCUCCAGCUUAAAAGGCAAACUCACACACACAUACAUAACACACACAUCUAUACAUACAUACAUACACAACUUGAC